ACACUGUAGAGUACUGGGGCUCCAUACCAACCAUCACAGAUGUCGAGGUAGGUAACACUGUAGAGUACUGGGGCUCCAUACCAACCCACACAGAUGCCGAGGUAGGUAACACUGUAGAGUACUGGGGCUCCAUACCAACCAUCACAGAUGCCGAGGUAGGUAACACUGUAGAGUACUGGGGCUCCAUACCAACCAUCACAGAUGCCGAGGUAGGUAACACUGUAGAGUACUGGGGCUCCAUACCAACCAUCACAGAUGCCGAGGUAGGUAACACUGUAGAGUACUGGGGCUCCAUACCAACCAUCACAGAUGCCGAGGUAGGUAACACUGUAGGAGAUAUGGGGCUACAUACCAACCAUCACAGAUGCCGAGGUAGGUAACACUGUAGAGUACUGGGGCUCCAUACCAACCAUCACAGAUGCCGAGGUAGGUAACACUGUAGAGUACUGGGGCUCCAUACCAACCAUCACAGAUGCCGAGGUAGGUAACACUGUAGAGUACUGGGGCUCCAUACCAACCAUCACAGAUGCCGAAGUAGGUAACACUGUAGGAGAUAUGGGGCUACAUACCAACCAUCACAGAUGCCGAGGUAGGUAACACUGUAGAGUACUGGGGCUCCAUACCAACCAUCACAGAUGUCGAGGUAGGUAACACUGUAGGAGAUAUGGGGCUACAUACCAACCAUCACAGAUGCCGAGGUAGGUAACACUGUAGAGUACUGGGGCUCCAUACCAACCAUCACAGAUGUCGAGGUAGGUAACACUGUAGAGUACUGGGGCUCCAUACCAACCCACACAGAUGCCGAGGUAGGUAACACUGUAGAGUACUGGGGCUCCAUACCAACCAUCACAGAUGCCGAGGUAGGUAACACUGUAGAGUACUGGGGCUCCAUACCAACCAUCACAGAUGCCGAGGUAGGUAACACUGUAGAGUACUGGGGCUCCAUACCAACCAUCACAGAUGCCGAGGUAGGUAACACUGUAGAGUACUGGGGCUCCAUACCAACCAUCACAGAUGCCGAGGUAGGUAACACUGUAGGAGAUAUGGGGCUACAUACCAACCAUCACAGAUGCCGAGGUAGGUAACACUGUAGAGUACUGGGGCUCCAUACCAACCAUCACAGAUGCCGAGGUAGGUAACACUGUAGAGUACUGGGGCUCCAUACCAACCAUCACAGAUGCCGAGGUAGGUAACACUGUAGAGUACUGGGGCUCCAUACCAACCAUCACAGAUGCCGAAGUAGGUAACACUGUAGGAGAUAUGGGGCUACAUACCAACCAUCACAGAUGCCGAGGUAGGUAACACUGUAGAGUACUGGGGCUCCAUACCAACCAUCACAGAUGUCGAGGUAGGUAACACUGUAGGAGAUAUGGGGCUACAUACCAACCAUCACAGAUGCCGAGGUAGGUAACACUGUAGAGUACUGGGGCUCCAUACCAACCAUCACAGAUGCCGAGGUAGGUAACACUGUAGAGUACUGGGGCUCCAUACCAACCAUCACAGAUGCCGAGGUAGGUAACACUGUAGAGUACUGGGGCUCCAUACCAACCAUCACAGAUGCCGAGGUAGGUAACACUGUAGAGUACUGGGGCUCCAUACCAACCAUCACAGAUGCCGAGGUAGGUAACACUGUAGGAGAUAUGGGGCUACAUACCAACCAUCACAGAUGCCGAGGUAGGUAACACUGUAGAGUACUGGGGCUCCAUACCAACCAUCACAGAUGUCGAGGUAGGUAACACUGUAGGAGAUAUGGGGCUACAUACCAACCAUCACAGAUGCCGAGGUUGGUAACACUGUAGAGUACUGGGGCUCCAUACCAACCAUCACAGAUGCCGAGGUAGGUAACACUGUAGAGUACUGGGGCUCCAUACCAACCAUCACAGAUGUCGAGGUAGGUAACACUGUAGGAGAUAUGGGGCUACAUACCAACCAUCACAGAUGUCGAGGUAGGUAACACUGUAGAGUAUUGGGGCUCCAUACCAACCAUCACAGAUGCCGAGGUAGGUAACACUGUAGGAGAUAUGGGGCUCAAUACCAACCAUCACAGAUGCCGAGGUAGGUAACACUGUAGGAGAUAUGGGGCUACAUACCAACCAUCACAGAUGCCGAGGUGGGUAACACUGUAGAGUACUGGGGCUCCAUACCAACCAUCACAGAUGCCGAGGUGGGUAACACUGAAGGAGAUAUUGGACUACAAACCAACCAUCACAGAUGCCGAGGUUGGUAACACUGUAGAGUACUGGGGCUCCAUACCAACCAUCACAGAUGCCGAGGUAGGUAACACUGUAGGAGAUAUGGGGCUACAUACCAACCAUCACAGAUGCCGAGGUAGGUAACACUGUAGAGUACUGGGGCUCCAUACCAACCAUCACAGAUGCCGAGGUAGGUAACACUGUAGAGUACUGGGGCUCCAUACCAACCAUCACAGAUGCCGAGGUAGGUAACACUGUAGGAGAUAUGGGGCUACAUACCAACCAUCACAGAUGCCGAGGUAGGUAACACUGUAGAGUACUGGGGCUCCAUACCAACCAUCACAGAUGUCGAGGUAGGUAACACUGUAGGAGAUAUGGGGCUACAUACCAACCAUCACAGAUGCCGAGGUUGGUAACACUGUAGAGUACUGGGGCUCCAUACCAACCAUCACAGAUGCCGAGGUAGGUAACACUGUAGAGUACUGGGGCUCCAUACCAACCAUCACAGAUGCCGAGGUAGGUAACACUGUAGGAGAUAUGGGGCUACAUACCAACCAUCACAGAUGCCGAGGUAGGUAACACUGUAGAGUACUGGGGCUCCAUACCAACCAUCACAGAUGUCGAGGUAGGUAACACUGUAGGAGAUAUGGGGCUACAUACCAACCAUCACAGAUGCCGAGGUUGGUAACACUGUAGAGUACUGGGGCUCCAUACCAACCAUCACAGAUGCCGAGGUAGGUAACACUGUAGAGUACUGGGGCUCCAUACCAACCAUCACAGAUGCCGAGGUAGGUAACACUGUAGGAGAUAUGGGGCUACAUACCAACCAUCACAGAUGCCGAGGUAGGUAACACUGUAGAGUACUGGGGCUCCAUACCAACCAUCACAGAUGUCGAGGUAGGUAACACUGUAGGAGAUAUGGGGCUACAUACCAACCAUCACAGAUGCCGAGGUUGGUAACACUGUAGAGUACUGGGGCUCCAUACCAACCAUCACAGAUGCCGAGGUAGGUAACACUGUAGAGUACUGGGGCUCCAUACCAACCAUCACAGAUGUCGAGGUAGGUAACACUGUAGGAGAUAUGGGGCUACAUACCAACCAUCACAGAUGUCGAGGUAGGUAACACUGUAGAGUAUUGGGGCUCCAUACCAACCAUCACAGAUGCCGAGGUAGGUAACACUGUAGGAGAUAUGGGGCUCAAUACCAACCAUCACAGAUGCCGAGGUAGGUAACACUGUAGAAGAUAUGGGGCUACAUACCAACCAUCACAGAUGCCGAGGUGGGUAACACUGUAGAGUACUGGGGCUCCAUACCAACCAUCACAGAUGCCGAGGUUGGUAACACUGUAGAGUACUGGGGCUCCAUACCAACCAUCACAGAUGCCGAGGUAGGUAACACUGUAGGAGAUAUGGGGCUACAUACCAACCAUCACAGAUGCCGAGGUAGGUAACACUGUAGAGUACUGGGGCUCCAUACCAACCAUCACAGAUGCCGAGGUAGGUAACACUGUAGAGUACUGGGGCUCCAUACCAACCAUCACAGAUGCCGAGGUAGGUAACACUGUAGGAGAUAUGGGGCUACAUACCAACCAUCACAGAUGCCGAGGUAGGUAACACUGUAGAGUACUGGGGCUCCAUACCAACCAUCACAGAUGUCGAGGUAGGUAACACUGUAGGAGAUAUGGGGCUACAUACCAACCAUCACAGAUGCCGAGGUUGGUAACACUGUAGAGUACUGGGGCUCCAUACCAACCAUCACAGAUGCCGAGGUAGGUAACACUGUAGAGUACUGGGGCUCCAUACCAACCAUCACAGAUGUCGAGGUAGGUAACACUGUAGGAGAUAUGGGGCUACAUACCAACCAUCACAGAUGUCGAGGUAGGUAACACUGUAGAGUAUUGGGGCUCCAUACCAACCAUCACAGAUGCCGAGGUAGGUAACACUGUAGGAGAUAUGGGGCUCAAUACCAACCAUCACAGAUGCCGAGGUAGGUAACACUGUAGGAGAUAUGGGGCUACAUACCAACCAUCACGGAUGCUGAGGAGGGUAACACUGUAGGAGAUAUGGGGCUACAUACCAAUCAUCACAGAUGCCGUGAUGGGUAACACUGAAGGAGAAAUAGGGCUACAUACCAAUCAUCACAGAUGCCGUGAUGGGUAACACUGUAGGAGAUAUGGGGCUACAUACCAACCAUCACGGAUGCCGAAGUAGGUAACACUGUAGGAGAUAUGGGGCUACAUACCAACCAUCACAGAUGCCGAAGUAGGUAACACUGUAGGAGAUAUGGGGCUACAUACCAACCAUCACAGAUGCCGAGGUG
rnacentral:lncRNA from 1 species